UAUUCUGCCUUGUUCGGUGUAUUAUAGUUCAUUUGAUCCAACACAUUUUACUAGGGAAUUCAGCUCCGUGUGCGGACUGCAGACCUCCCGCCCUGCGGAAGAAGGGAGCGAGAAACAUUCGGGCGUUUACCCACCUGCUUAGUGCGGGUUUCAUUCACUAUAUGACGGCAAGGCGGAUAUU
rnacentral:other from 1 species